rnacentral:rRNA from 1 species
GGCUCAUCACAUCCUGGGGCUGUAGUAGGUCCCAAGGGUUGGGCUGUUCGCCCAUUAAAGUGGUACGCGAGCUGGGUUCAGAACGUCGUGAGACAGUUCGGUCCCUAUCCGUCGCAGGCGUAGGAAAUUUGAGAAGACCUGUCCUUAGUACGAGAGGACCGGGAUGGACGUACCUCUGGUGUACCAGUUGUCCUGCCAAGGGCAUGGCUGGGUAGCUAUGUACGGAAUGGAUAAGCGCUGAAAGCAUCUAAGCGCGAAGCCAACUUCAAGAUAAGAUUUCCCACCGCAAGGGUAAGACCCCAGAAAGACUAUCUGGUUGAUAGGUCGAAGGUGUAAGUGCAGCAA